UCCAUUGUUAUUCCUAACGUCCAAAUACUAUAUAAUUAUAUGAUAAUACGAAGAACACGUGCAUGUCAAUUAGCUGUAUUGAUAUUUUUUACUCGCAACAUAGAUAAUUCCUACACAAUGAUGAGACUUUAUUUGUUAAUAGGCGUUGCUGGAUACUUAGGUUCGCACAACAUUAAAGUAUGCAAUCACGUCUCAAUAUACGCAAUGAAAAACGAAACAAUUCAUGGAAGAAAAGUAAAUUUAUUGGCGAGUAGGACAUUGAUAAUAUUAUUACUGUCGCUCUUCUUUAUUCGUGCACGUAACUAUUAAUAUACACAACU